UCGCAGCCAAUUAAGCCGACCAACCCAAUUCUCUCAGUGGGGGGCUGGUGUGCAUUUCCCUGGUUGUGUGUGUACCUUGUCCUCAAUAUUCUAAGUAUUCUAAGUAUUCUAAGGGACCUCGGAAACACUU